CACGUUGAUUUAGACGGACAGCUUUCUAACAUUACACUAUCAGUCCGUCUGUAAAUGCUUCAUCAAUAACUGUUGAUAGAUGAAGACCCUUGACUUCAGUCAUGUCCAGUUUCUCUUCUUCCUCUCAUGUUUCCUGCAGUGAUUGUGAGUAUUGUUGAGAUGGCAGUGUUUGCUGCUCCUACUGUGAUUCUUCUUCAGAUCAUCUGUGCAAGAAGAGCUGGGAGGAAGAACUCGAGACACCCGGAGGAAAUAGAGAUGCCUGCAAUACAACAAUAAAAACUGAAAAAAACUCUUCCUCCAUUUCUCGACGUCUGUCGCCAUGGUUACUGUGGUUGUAUGAGCAGAAACUGAGGGUGACGUGGUUAUGACGCCAUUGACUGGAAACUCCCUCAGCCCUGCUCACACGCCCCGUUUCCUUGGUUACCAUCGCAAUUUUCUCGCUUUUGGAUAUU